rnacentral:sRNA from 1 species
AGAAGCUUCGACUAAGGUUCGAUUCGAGCGAAGCGAGAGAACGUUGCCGCAGGCAACGGCCCGAAGGGCGAGGCGCUUUAGCGCCGAGUAAUCCUUCCCCCACCACCA